rnacentral:rRNA from 1 species
GACGAACGCUGGCGGCGUGCUUAACACAUGCAAGUCGAACGGAAAGGCCCUGCUUGUGUGGGGUGCUCGAGGGGCGGACGGGUGAGUAACACGUGAGUAACCUGCCCUUGACUUUGGGAUAACUUCAGGAAAGUGGGGUUAAUACCAGAUCGGAUCUCCUCCUGCGUGGUGGGGGGUGGAUAGUUUCGGCGGUUGGGGAUGGACUAGCGGCUUAUCAGCUUGUUGGUGGGGUAGUGGCUUACCAAGGCUUUGACGGGUCGCCGGCCUGAGAGGGUGACCGGCGACAUUGGUACUGAGAGACGGCCCAGACUGCUACGGGAGGCAGCAGUGGGGAAUAUUGCACAAUGGGCGGAAGCCUGAUGCAGCAGCGCCGCGUGCGGGAUGACGGCCUUCGGGUUGUAAACCGCUUUCGCCUGUGACGAAGCGGGAGUGACGGUAAUGGGUAAAGAAGCACCGGCUAACUACGUG